AUUGAACGCUGGCGGCAGGCCUAACACAUGCAAGUCGAACGAGUGGCGGACGGGUGUGAAAUGUCUGGGAAACUGCCAUAUGGAGGGGGAUAACUACUGGAAACGGUAGAUAAUACCGCAUACUAUCGGAUGCGCCCAGAGGGGAUUCGCUAGUAGGUGGGGUAAAGGCUCACCUAGGCGACGAUCCCUAGCUGGUCUGAGAGGAUGACCAGCCACACUGGAACUGAGACACGGUCCAGACUCCUACGGGAGGCAGCAGUGGGGAAUAUUGCACAAUGGGCGCAAGCCUGAUGCAGCCAUGCCGCGUGUAUGAAGAAGGCCUUCGGGUUGUAAAGGACUUUCAGCGGGGAGGCGUUACCCGCAGAAGAAGCACCGGCUAACUCCGUGCCAGCAGCCGCGGUAAUUC
rnacentral:rRNA from 1 species